UACGGGGGAUGCAAGCGUUAUCCGGAUUUAUUGGGUUUAAAGGGUGCGUAGGCUGUGAGGUAAGUCAGCGGUGAAAUGCCCCCGCUCAAUGGGGUGAAGUGCCAUUGAUACUGCCUUGCUGGAAUGCGGAUGCCGUGGGAGGAAUGUGUGGUGUAGCGGUGAAAUGCAUAGAUAUCACACAGAACACCGAUUGCGAAGGCAUCUCACGAAUCCGCGAUUGACGCUGAUGCACGAAAGCGUGGGUAUCAAACAGG
rnacentral:rRNA from 1 species